rfam:Myotis lucifugus cont2.59633, whole genome shotgun sequence.
GGCAGUUCUUGGAUGAUGCACCCCAGAAUCGGGCUCCCUCCUCUCUGGUUUCAAGUGCAUCAUCCAAGAAACGCA